rnacentral:rRNA from 1 species
CGAAGGGUGCAAGCGUUAGUCGGAAUUACUGGGCGUAAAGCGUGCGUAGGCGGUUUCUUAAGUCGGAUGUGAAAGCCCUGGGCUCAACCUGGGAAUGGCACUCGAUACUGGGAAGCUAGAGUGUGUCAGAGGAUGGUGGAAUUCCCGGUGUAGCGGUGAAAUGCGUAGAGAUCGGGAGGAACAUCAGUGGCGAAGGCGGCCAUCUGGGACAACACUGACGCUGAGGCACGAAAGCGUGGGAGCAAACAGGAUU